rnacentral:rRNA from 1 species
UGGGGAAUUUUGGACAAUGGGGGAAACCCUGAUCCAGCCAUCCCGCGUGUGCGAUGAAGGCCUUCGGGUUGUAAAGCACUUUUGGCAGGAAAGAAACGUCAUGGGUUAAUACCCCGUGAAACUGACGGUACCUGCAGAAUAAGCACCGGCUAACUACGUGCCAGCAGCCGCGGUAAUACGUAGGGUGCAAGCGUUAAUCGGAAUUACUGGGCGUAAAGCGUGCGCAGGCGGUUCGGAAAGAAAGAUGUGAAAUCCCAGAGCUCAACUUUGGAACUGCAUUUUUAACUACCGGGCUAGAGUGUGUCAGAGGGAGGUGGAAUUCCGCGUGUAGCAGUAAAAUGCGUAGAUAUGCGGAGGAACACCGAUGGCGAAGGCAGCCUCCUGGGAUAACACUGACGCUCAUGCACGAAGGCGUGGGGAGCAAACAGG